ensembl:lncRNA
CUGGGGCUGGGACCAGGCAGGGUGGUGGGCCCACGGAUGGGUUGAUAGGACUGGGGCUGGGACCAGGCAGGGUGGUGGGCCCACGGAUGGGUCGAUAGGGCUGGGCCUGUCAGACUGGCAUCAUUCAGACUGCAGAUCACUAUAUCCCUGCCUUUCAGCGUCUCCCAUUAGAUCUCUGGCCCAGCCGCCAUUAUCAAUCCCCAAACAUUUACAAAUCCGUGUAAACUGCAUCCCUGCGCUGGGCGCCGGGUGGCAACAUGCAUGGGAGCGCAUAGACUGGCUUCAUUAGUGGGUCUGUGGGCUGGAGGGGCAUAGGAGGAGCAGGGGCUGGGCUUUGUAUGACUGGCAGAGAGUGGAGCAGCACCAGUGCACAGCAGCACCAGUGCACACAUGUAGAUAUGUACAGGGCUUAAAUACCGAGUUAUGCUGACCUGCAGGGGGAGCAGAUGGCGAGGGAACCUGGCCUGUAUAGAGCCAGCUGUGUGGUGGGCUGAGGAGAGGAGCCAGGCUGGGCGGUGGGUUUGUUUGUCUUAAUGUGAAGGGCUAACCCACUGAGGUAGAAUACUAAAUGAGAUUAAUGUAGUGUAAGCACAUGAUCUAGCUGGGUAGAAAUGCCAACACAUGGCUGGGUUCAGGGAAACAGCUCAACAACUGAAAACGAGUGUGUGUGUGUGUGUGUGUGUGUGUGUGUGUGUGUGUGUGUGUGUGUGUGUGUGUGUGUGUGUGUGUGUGUGUGUGUGUGUGUGUGUGUGUGUGUGUGUGUGUGUGUGUGUGUUUGAGUGCGUGUGUCUGUGCGUGUGUGCUUGAGUGCGUGGGUGUUUGUUUCUGUACUUGUAUUACAGUAGUAACGAGUGUUGCCAUGAAUGAGUAAUGUAGUGGGCUGGGGAGAGGGGGGGUUAUAGCAUUAGCACAGUGAAGACAUUCUUUACAUAUUCCAUACUAUAGUAGACAACCCCUCCUCCUCCUCCCAUCUCCAUUGUAGCCCUGAGAGGACUGUUGGUUGAGAAUAUGGGGCCUUGACAAAGUUUUGACCCCCUGUUGCCCCCUCUCCUCUCUGUCACCCCGCUAGUUGCGUCCCCUAAGUGCAGUGUGUGAUUGAGUCCUGCUCUGCCUGCCCAGCCAGCCGUGCUCCAGCUCCCUCUCUUACACUGUUUCACUAAACAUGCUUGAUUAGGCAAAGUACAUCCCAUCCCCUAAUGGUGUGAUGAGCCCCUGAGAAGAUUACUACAGACACAUCGAGAGGGAGACGAGCACCCACUCUCAUCUCCAGAAAUCACCCCUGCAUACACACACACACACACACACACUCACUCGCACACGUGCACACACACACACACACACACACACAGCACCCUAACCAAAUUCAGGAUGUAAUUUAAUUACGAUCCGCUGUCAUCACCAGGCCAGGGAGGAGGGAGGCUUGUGGCUCAGACCCAGAGAUGUGCUCUUUGGAAGAGCCACAUGAUAAUAUGAUUCUCUUAGUCCCCCAUGACUAUAUAUUAAAGAAUCUAGGGUUCCCCUUUCUAUAGCGCUUCAGGCUUGCACACAGACGGACACACACACACACACACACACACACACACACACACACACACACACACACACACACACACACACACACACAUACGUGUUUCACACACACAAUCAGUCUCUUCUUCUCUACCCCAUGAUGUAUAAUCAUGCUGUGUCCUUCUGCUGUUUAGCUGCUACAAUCAAACAGAGGCAGUUUUUAAAUGUGUCAACACCAGAAUGAGAAAUCUAUGUAAUUUACUGUGAAGUGCUCCAAAAUCUUUGCUCUUUGAAAAUCAGAUUUGAAAUGUUUUAACCAUUUUUUCAUACAUUAGCAAUCCUCUGAUGCAGUAAAUUGUUUUCUUUGGCAGCCAUUUCUUUCUGCUGGGAGAUUUUUGUUUGGUUCUGUUUGAUAUGUAGCUCACACAGUGCCGCCCCCUCCCUCCCCCUCUCCCACAUGACCCGAUCUGUGUGUAUAAAUAUCAUGGACUGUGUGUGUGUGCCUGAGGCCAUGCCAUUGUCUGUUGUUGGCUCGUUUUCCUCGGUAACCCAGUGAUUAGCUAAUGGCCCCCGGCCAGGAACUGCCAUGUCGGGAUGGGACACCCUAGAAAGAGCCAAACCAAAUAAGGAGACAUGUAACCCAGUCUGCUGAGGAAUUAACACAGGCAGCAGACAUUUUACUCAUCCAGCGAAACACAUCGAAGGAUAAGCACAAAAACGUUUGCAUUUUUGUAAAGUUGUAGAGAACAUUCUAUUUAGCCCGCACUGAUCAUUCUUGUCAUGUUUUCAUUAUUUUUAAUUUUUUUUGUCUCUAUGGUAAUAUUUGUUUGGGUUUUUGGGGUUUUGUUGUAUUGGAUUUUGAUUUGCUCUCUGGUGUGUGAGUUUGAUGAUGAUGAUGAUGAUGAAGAAGAUGAUGAUGAUAUUGAUUAGGAGGAAGAUGAUGGUGAUGAUGAUUAGGAGGAAGAUGAUGAUGAAGAUGUGUAUGACGAAGAGGAUGAGGAUAAUGAGGAUUCUGUACUGUGAACAGCAUCUCAGUAUUUGCUCCCACUCUGAUGCCUGAGUCGUGUCUGAGAGGUGGAGAAGAGGAGAGGAGAGGAGAGGAGAGGAGAGGAGAGGAGAGGAGAGGAGAGGAGAGGAGGGA